GGGCGUAAAGCGCGCGUAGGUGGCCAAUUAAGUCAAAUGUGAAAUCCCCGAGCUUAACUUGGGAAUUGCAUUCGAUACUGGUUGGCUAGAGUAUGGGAGAGGAUGGUAGAAUUCCAGGUGUAGCGGUGAAAUGCGUAGAGAUCUGGAGGAAUACCGAUGGCGAAGGCAGCCAUCUGGCCUAAUACUGACACUGAGGUGCGAAAGCAUGGGGAGCAAACAGGAUUAGAUACCCUGGUAGUCCAUGCCGUAAACGAUGUCUACUAGCCGUUGGGGCCUUUGAGGCUUUAGUGGCGCAGCUAACGCGAUAAGUAGACCGCCUGGGGAGUACGGUCGCAAGACUAAAACUCAAAUGAAUUGACGGGGGCCCGCACAAGCGGUGGAGCAUGUGGUUUAAUUCGAUGCAACGCGAAGAACCUUACCUGGUCUUGACAUAGUAAGAACUUUCCAGAGAUGGAUUGGUGCCUUCGGGAACUUACAUACAGGUGCUGCAUGGCUGUCGUCAGCUCGUGUCGUGAGAUGUUGGGUUAAGUCCCGCAACGAGCGCAACCCUUUUCCUUAUUUGCCAGCGGGUUAAGCCGGGAACUUUAAGGAUACUGCCAGUGACAAACUGGAGGAAGGCGGGGUCGACGUCAAGUCAUCAUGGCCCUUACGACCAGGGCUACACACGUGCUACAAUGGUCGGUACAAAGGGUUGCUACCUAGCGAUAGGAUGCUAAUCUCAAAAAGCCGAUCGUAGUCCGGAUUGGAGUCUGCAACUCGACUCCANGAAGUCGGAAUCGCUAGUA
rnacentral:rRNA from 1 species